UACGGGGGGGGUAAGCGUUGUUCGGAAUUACUGGGCGUAAAGGGCUCGUAGGCGGCCAACUAAGUCAUACGUGAAAUCCCUCAGCUUAACUGGGGGAACUGCGUGUGAUACUGGAUGGCUUGGGAUUUGGGAGAGGGAUGCGGAAUUCCAGGUGUAGCGGUGAAAUGCGUAGAUAUCGGAAGGAACAUCAGUGGCGAAAGCGACUUCCUGGACCAAUACUGACGCUCAUGUGCGAAAGCGUGGGGAGCAAACAGGGAGUUA
rnacentral:rRNA from 1 species